ACAAUGGUGAAAACACUUAUCCAGGAUCUUAGAUACUUAGGGAAGUAGACAUGUGCUUUGGGAGGCCGAGGCGGGUGGAUCACAAGGUUAGGAGAUCAAGACCAUCCUGGCUAACACGGUGAAACCCCGUUUUGUAAUUUUUGUAAAAAUACAAAAAAAUUAGCUGGGUGUGGUGGUGGGUGCCUGUAGUCCUAGCUACUCUGGCUGAGGCCGGAGAAUGGCGUGAACCCGGGAGGCAGAGCUUGCAGUGAGCCAAGAUGGUACCACUGCACUCCAGCCUGGGCGACAGAGCGAGACUCAGUCUCAAAAAAAAAAAAAAAAAAAAAAAAAAGAUGUGAAAAUCUGGUAACUACUCAUCAGAGUUUGAAGUGAUUAGAAAGGAAUUAACUCAGCCAGAAGAAAUCUAAGAGGUAGGAGUUGAACUGGGCUUUGAAGAAUGAAAGCUUACAGAGGAUUCGGGAAAGCAAAUUGGAGGCAGUGAGGACAAGUAGAUAUAUGCAUGGCACUCACUCAAGGUUGAGCCGAAAGAGAGUCGAAAUAAGGCAAGCAGGACCCAUUCUGUGGAGGACUUGCCAUGCAAGGGUAAGGAAUUGGAAUGUUAGAUACAAUGGGAGGUGAAUAGAAGUUUUCUGUCAUAUUUUAGGAGUAAAACUGAAGACCAUGUGUAUGAGAGUAUGGAUCAGGUGGUUGGGCCACCCAAAAACUUAGAUGAGAAAUGAGAACUGAAUUAGGCUGCUGGUAGAACAGAAAGGAUGGAGACAGCUGAUGGACGGUGCUUGGAUCCACAAGGAGGUUGUACUACGGUUAAAAAAAACAGCACAAAGCACUCUUAUAAAGCACUUUAAGCUGUUACACAGAUUGAUCACUAGGAGGCAUCCGUUCAUCAACUAGUAAGGCGAAAAGGAAGGCAGCUCUGGACACCCACCUAAGAAGUCUGGAUAGUUCCGUGUUAAUGUUUAACCUUUUCAACUCAAGGACUUCUGAAAACCAGAAUCUAGAAUAUUUCUUCUGAAUAGUACUUCAAAGAUUAAAUAAGGCCAAGAAGUCUAAACUGCACUCUGAAUGUGGGACUAUUUGAUUAUUUAUUUUGAGACAGAGUCUCACUCUGUUGCCCAGGCUGGAGUGCAGUGGCACUAUCUUGGCUCACUGUAACCUUCACCUCCCUGAUUCAAGCAAUUCCCUUGCCUCAGCCUCCCGAGUAGCUGGGAUUACGGGCGCAUUUUUUUUGCGUUUUUAGCAGAGACGGGGUUUCACUAUGUUGGCCAGACUUGUCUCGAACAUCUGACCUCAGGCAAUCUGCCUGCCUCAGCCUCCCGAAGUGCUGGGAUUGCAGGCGUGAGCCACUACGCCCAGCCUUGGUUAUCUUUUAUACACUGAUGAGGGCAAUGUGACAUGUUCAUAAUUUACUGGGUUUUAACUAUUUUUUGAAAGAUGUUUGAUUUUUGGACUAUCCAAAUCUUUAAUAAUGAUCAUUGUCAGGAGUUUCUACUGUAUAUUGCAAAUUAGUUUACAUAUCAGAAUUUUGUAAUCAUUAUGAAUUAAACACUUCAUAACUUUCCAAGUUCUGUUACAUGUCUUUAAGCUAGUAUUGAUUAAUGGACUUUUAAUCAAGUGUUUGACUAUGUAACUGCCAAGUAAGAAACUUACCAACUCAGUUCCAUUACUGUGUUUCUCAUGCUUCUAAAUACUCUUACUAGAAAACAGUAGGAUGCUAGUUUAUAUAAACACCUCUCACAAUAUUAAAUUGCAUGUUGCUUGGGAAAAGAUUUGUGGGAUUUAUUUUAUAUGAUGUCUGGACUAUGAAAGCAUUUAAGAUUCAGAGAGGCCUAGCAUGUAGUUAUCCAUUUAAAAAUUAUAGCAGAGAUAUAUUUGUAGGGCACAUUUCAAGUCCUUACAUUUCAAAUUUUAGGAUGCAUCAUGAAAAAUCUGUCAGAAGCAUUUGAAAAAAUUGAUAUUCUUUUAAUGAUGGGUAUGGACUUCUGACUCAAGUCAAGAUUUCUACCUAUGUUGAGCAUCUACUUUGUAUCAGUACUUUUUCUAGGUGAUUGGGACACAUCAGAAAUAAUGGUCCAGGCCGGGCGCGGUGGCUCAAGCCUGUAAUCCCAGCACUUUGGGAGGCCGAGACGGGCGGAUCACGAGGUCAGGAGAUCGAGACCAUCCUGGCUAACCCGGUGAAACCCCGUCUCUAGUAAAAAAUACAAAAAAAUAGCCGGGCGAGGUGGCGGGUGCCUGUAGUCCCAGCUACUCGGGAGGCUGAGGCAGGAGAAUGGCGUAAACCCGGGCGGCGGAGCUUGCAGUGAGCUGAGAUCCGGCCACUGCACUCCAGUCUCGGCGACAGAGCAAGACUCCGUCUCAAAAAAAAAAAAAAAAAA
ensembl:lncRNA